GAUUUAUUACGUCUCUAUGGAAACAUAUUUGUUUAUCUUUGUUUUAUUUAUUUUUUUCGGAUUUUCCAAUAGUUUUUGUAGAUUGAUAACAGAUACCUUUUAGUAAGAAUUUAUUUAGAUUUAGGAUAUAAAAUAUAAUUUUUAAACGUUUUUUUUUUCUUCCCAUUAUCAAUGUUAAAUCCAAUUACAUCUCGCGCAUAUUCCGAGAAUGAAUGGCACGAAGCGAAUUACAAACUGCUGAAGAAAUCUGAUUUUGUUAGAGACGAAUGGAAGAGAGCAUGCGAAGAAGCAAGAUAUGUGCUAAGGGAGAGAGAAAUGUUAACACAAUCGUCACAAGAAACAGUGACUGGAUUAAUACAAGAGAGAGCAAGAGAGAUCUUUCGAUGGAAGAGAGAAUUUCAAAGGACUAUCGACGAUUUAAUUUCAGUAACUAAGAUUGUUCAUAACCAUAAGAAACAAAUAGAGAAUGCCAUAAAUGCAAUUGAUUUAUCAUUAAUGAUUAACAGUGAAUGCCUCGCUCUAAGAAGACAAAGAGUUGGAUUGGAUUUAGCGGAUGAUUCUGUCCAAUCUUAUCUCUUACAAGAAGAAGAAUUGUUAACAUACGUUAAAGUAUUUCUCUUGAAGAGCAUUCCUAAAGUUGAAGAUCAAAUUAAAAUUAAUAAUAAUUUUAAAGCAAAGUUGGAGGAGGAUUGGACAGAUAAAUGGGAAGCUUAUAAGAUUGAUAGUUUCUGUGUUCAUUUAGAUUAUCACUUUAAUGAAUCUGUACCAUUUCAUUACGGAUGGGAAGAACUGCCAGAAAGAUGGAACACAGUUAAUUCGUGGUUGGAAUCAAUUAAAGAGAGUUUAAUGCAAUGUUCAAACGAAAUUACGAUAUCGAAUUCUCUAUGCAAGGCUGUGGAAAGUUUAUUAAAAGAUUCUUCGAGUGAUGUUCAAGAUCAUCGAUUUCUUGUUGAUUUAGCAUUAAAUGGAAGAAUUGUAGAUUUGAAUAGAAGUAUUUAUCAAUUAAAGGAGCAUCUAAAAAUACUGGUAGAAGAUAUGUCAAUAGCCGAGAAAACAAUAGAAAAACUGACAUAUUCACUAAAAGAAAAGCAACAACCUUUGAAAAUAGCACAGACAAGAUUGCAUUAUCGAUUUCAAAGGCCAAAUAAAGAAUUAAUUCAAGAUCCCGCCCAGGACAGUUUGAUUAAAGAAAUUCAAGAGAUUGAAGAAAGUAUGAGCAUUUUGAAGAAACAAAUUGAGAAUUCCGAAACCAUUUUCAUGAAAUUGAUAGAAGUUAGAAAAAUAAUGGAAAAACAUUUAAUUCAUAAAGAACACGCUCUGUGUAUCGAUAAAGAUAGAGUUGUUCCUGUUCGAAAAAAAUUCCCUUCACAGUAUAAAUUAAUGGGAUACGAAUGAUUAUAUGCCAUAUUAAUUACGCCUCAAUAUAAUUUGAGGGUCCGGAUUCGAUUCUCAUAGAUAGAUUGUCCUAUUCUGCCUUUUAUGGUAUCUUUCUAAUGAAUUUAUCUACAAAAAUGGUUUUUGUAGAAAAACAAAGUUUUAAUAAAUUGCAG
rnacentral:misc_RNA from 1 species